AGCCCUACCCCUACCCCGUUUCUCUCUCUAUCCUUUUCUGUGUAACCCUAAUCGCCGCCUCAUAUUGUCCCUCUUCUCUCUCCGCCAAAAAUGGCAAAAUCACAAAGUAUAGUAGAUGUACGCAACUUUUGCAUGUCCAUUGUAGUGAAACAUUUAAUGUUUCACUUGGUUUCGCGAAAAUAUGAUACAAACAUGUUUGUGUGGUGGUCUUGGAAGCACAAAGGGCUUUUAAAUUCAUUUUUGACCAAGGCUGCACUAUUAAAAGGUAAUAUUCUAUCCUUUACUUAUUUUGUUAUUGCUUAGUAGUUAGUUUAUAUGAUAUAUAGUAGCUUGUUAGUUGAUUGAUGUGUUGCCUUUUUGUUCAAUUAAAUGACUGUACUGUUUGGGUGAUAUUAAGGUUCAUUAGCUUGUUUAGAUGUGGAGAUUACUUCCUUUAGUUUCAAAGCAUAUGUUUGACAUUAAUAAGUAGUUGGUGGUAUAGACUGAGUGUAUGAGUUCCAAAUAAUGUAGUGUUUGUUUCUAUAGAUAUGGUUGAAACAGAUUUUUUUGUGCUCUGUUGGAUGUUGAGGUUUCCUAUUUUGGCUGUUCAAUACUUAAAUAUGAUAGGAAGGUCGUUAUAUGAGUCAUGAUAGUAAUCUAGUGAACUUUUAAAUCAACACUGAUCCUAUUUGAAUGCAGUAGAACAUUAAAGUACUGUGAUGAUCUAUUUGAAGCAUUUAAGGUAGUUGCUUUUUCUUGAAUAAGACUAUGACAUUUUGAUUUCCUAAAUUUUGUUAUUUCAUAGGCCUAUAUACUUGUCUAAUGUCAACUAGAUAACAUGAAAUUAUGAUUAGGAUAAAAAAUAGAAGAGAUCAUGCUCAGGUUGAAAUAAAGCUUAAGGAACCUAGGCAUGUUUAUAGGAGUCUUUGAUGAGUGUUCAAGGCAUUUAGAGUUAGGGGGGUCUGCUUGCAUUUUUGUGGGUCUGAAUCUUCCCAAGGCUGUCUGAGCAUGUUUGAAUUAGUCAAAUAAUUUGGAAUAGUUGUAUGCUAUAUAUAUAUAUAUAUAUAUAUAUAUAUAUAUAUAUUAAAAGUAGUUUGAAAUAACAA